rnacentral:rRNA from 1 species
AGUGAACGCUGGCGGUAGGCCUAACAUAUGCAAGUCGAACGGCAGCACAGUAAGAGCUUGCUCUUACGGGUGGCGAGUGGCGGACGGGUGAGGAAUACAUCGGAAUCUACCUUUUCGUGGGGGAUAACGUAGGGAAACUUACGCUAAUACCGCAUACGACCUACGGGCGAAAGCAGGGGAUCUUCGGACCUUGCGCGAUUGAAUGAGCCGAUGUCGGAUUAGCUGGUUGGCGGGGUAAAGGCCCACCAAGGCGACGAUCCGUAGCUGGUCUGAGAGGAUGAUCAGCCACACUGGAACUGAGACACGGUCCAGACUCCUACGGGAGGCAGCAGUGGGGAAUAUUGGACAAUGGGCGCAAGCCUGAUCCAGCCAUACCGCGUGGGUGAAGAAGGCCUUCGGGUUGUAAAGCCCUUUUGUUGGGAAAGAAAAGCAGCAGGUUAAUACCCCGCUGUUCUGACGGUACCCAAAGAAUAAGCACCGGCUAACUUCGUG